UCGUGGAGUAAUCUGUCAGGUCAAUUCCAUUAACGAACCAGACCUCAGCCUCUAGUUACUACAAGUCUAGAGGGACUCUGUGUCCAAGCACAUGGAAGCAUGAGGCCAUAACA
rnacentral:rRNA from 1 species